rnacentral:rRNA from 1 species
CCUGACUGCUAUCGGAUUGAUACUAAGCCAUGCGAGUCAUUGUAGCAAUACAAGGCAUACGGCUCAGUAACGCGUAGUCAACCUAACCUAUGGACGGGAAUAACCUCGGGAAACUGAGAAUAAUGCCCGAUAGAACACUAUACCUGGAAUGGUUUGUGUUCCAAAUGAUUUAUCGCCAUAGGAUGGGACUGCGGCCUAUCAGUUUGUUGGUGAGGUAAUGGCCCACCAAGACUAUUACAGGUACGGGCUCUGAGAGGAGUAGCCCGGAGAUGGGUACUGAGACACGGACCCAGGCCCUAUGGGGCGCAGCAGGCGAGAAAACUUUGCAAUGUGCGAAAGCACGACAAGGUUAAUCCGAGUGAUUUGUGCUAAACGAAUCUUUUGUUAGUCCUAGAAACACUAACGAAUAAGGGGUGGGCAAGUUCUGGUGUCAGCCGCCGCGGUAAAACCAGCACCUCAAGUGGUCAGGAUGAUUAUUGGGCCUAAAGCAUCCGUAGCCGGCUCUGUAAGUUUUCGGUUAAAUCUGUACGCUUAACGUACAGGCUGCCGGGAAUACUGCAGAGCUAGGGAGCGGGAGAGGUAGACGGUACUCGGUAGGAAGUGGUAAAAUGCUUUGAUCUAUCGAUGACCGCCUGUGGCGAAGGCGGUCUACCAGAACACGUCCGACGGUGAGGGAUGAAAGCUGGGGGAGCAAACCGGAUUAGAUACCCGGGUAGUCCCAGCUGUAAACUAUGCAAACUCAGUGAUGCAUUGGCUUGUGGCCAAUGCAGUGCUGCAGGGAAGCCGUUAAGUUUGCCGCCUGGGAAGUACGUACGCAAGUAUGAAACUUAAAGGAAUUGGCGGGGGAGCACCACAAGGGGUGAAGCCUGCGGUUC